rnacentral:siRNA from 1 species
AGGCUUUGGACGAGCUGACGUGGU